CUAGGGCAAGAAAAUAUUGGGUAAUCUCCAUGUCCAUUCAGUUCUUGCCCUUUCUUGCUGAUAGUACCACCCAGGGGCAGGUGCCAGCUGAGGGGUGGUGGUCUCUCUGAUGUGGACACCUGUCUGCUGGGAGCUGGAGUGAGACCACCAAUUGGAUUUCACACUUUUUUGACUUUUUGUGAUUACCAAAUCAGGUGAUCUCCAUCCUGAAUUCUUCAUUUGUCACCACAGGCCAGACUGACAAGCUGUGUUUUCCCUUUUCCAAAGCAGUGGAAGCAGAAAAAUCAGAUUUGGCCUUAGUUGCAUAUGGAACAGCAACAGCUUCUCCUAAUGACUUUCCCUAAAUUCUUGAAAUGUGGCUAAUGCAGGCACAUUAAUCAUAACAUUUAUUUACUGAUGAGCUGGAAGCAUGAAACAGAUUUGUUCACUGCCGCUCAAACAUAACAUUCUCUAGUUCAGAGCUUUG
rnacentral:lncRNA from 1 species